rnacentral:rRNA from 1 species
UUAAUGAGAGUUUGAUCCUGGCUCAGGACGAACGCUGGCGGCGUGCCUAAUACAUGCAAGUAGAACGCUGAGGUUUGGUGUUUACACUAGACUGAUGAGUUGCGAACGGGUGAGUAACGCGUAGGUAACCUGCCUCAUAGCGGGGGAUAACUAUUGGAAACGAUAGCUAAUACCGCAUAAGAGUAAUUAACACAUGUUAGUUAUUUAAAAGGAGCAAUUGCUUCACUGUGAGAUGGACCUGCGUUGUAUUAGCUAGUUGGUGAGGUAAAGGCUCACCAAGGCGACGAUACAUAGCCGACCUGAGAGGGUGAUCGGCCACACUGGGACUGAGACACGGCCCAGACUCCUACGGGAGGCAGCAGUAGGGAAUCUUCGGCAAUGGACGGAAGUCUGACCGAGCAACGCCGCGUGAGUGAAGAAGGUUUUCGGAUCGUAAAGCUCUGUUGUUAGAGAAGAACGUUGGAAGGAGWGGAAA